rnacentral:siRNA from 1 species
CGAGGAACGCCUUAUCUUGUUCUU